rnacentral:rRNA from 1 species
AGUGAACGCUGGCGGUAGGCCUAACACAUGCAAGUCGAACGGCAGCACAGGAGAGCUUGCUCUCUGGGUGGCGAGUGGCGGACGGGUGAGGAAUACAUCGGAAUCUACUUUUUCGUGGGGGAUAACGUAGGGAAACUUACGCUAAUACCGCAUACGACCUACGGGUGAAAGCAGGGGAUCUUCGGACCUUGCGCGAUUGAAUGAGCCGAUGUCGGAUUAGCUAGUUGGCGGGGUAAAGGCCCACCAAGGCGACGAUCCGUAGCUGGUCUGGCAGGAGGAUAACCCACACUGGAACUGAGACACGGUCCAGACUCCUACGGGAGGCAGCAGUGGGGAAUAUUGGACAAUGGGCGCAAACCUGAUCCAGCCAUACCGCGUGGGUGAAGAAGGCCUUCGGGUUGUAAAGCCCUUUUGUUGGGAAAGAAAUCCAGCUGGUUAAUACCCGGUUGGGAUGACGGUACCCAAAGAAUAAGCACCGGCUAACUUCGUGCCAGCCGCCGCAGUAA